rnacentral:rRNA from 1 species
GGGCUGCGGUAAUUUGACCGUGCGAAGGUAGCAUAAUCAAUAGUCUUUUAAUUGAGGACUGGAAUGAAUGGCGUUACGAAAAAUAAGCUGUCUUAAUUAUAAUAGUUGAAUUUUACCUUUAAGUGAAAAGGCUUAAAUAGUAUUAAGUGACGAUAAGACCCUAUAAAACUUAACAUGUAGGAAAUUUUUUAAAUUUAAAGUGAAAGUAAAAUCGUUCUUUUAUUGUUUGGUUGGGGCGACCAAGAUAUAAAUAAGUAGCUGUCUAUAAAGCAAAAUAAUUAUACUUUGUUUCGUGAACCUUUAUUAAGGAUUAAAAAAUUAAGUUACUUUAGGGAUAACAGCGUAAUUUUUUCAGAGAGUUCUUAUCGAAGAAAUUAGUUGCGACCUCGAUGUUGAAUUAAAAUUUCUUUUAAAUGUAGCAGUUUAAUAAGUGGGUCUGUUCGACCUUUGAAAUUU